CCGUAACGUAUCAAAUAGAUCUGUGACGUCACAGUUGAUAGAAACAACGCCGUAAUUUCUGUCACAGGUCCGUGACGUCACAGAUGGUCGAAACAACGCCGUAAUUUCUGUCACAGGUCCGUGACGUCACAGGUGAUAGAAAAACAACGCCGUAACGGCUCUAAUAGAUCUGUGACGUCACAGAUGAUAGAAAAGCAACGCCGUAACUCCUGUCACAGGUCCGUGACGUCACAGAUGAUAGAAACAACGCCGUAAUUUCUGUCACAGGUCCGUGACGUCACAGAUGGUCGAAACAACGCCGUAAUUUCUGUCACAGGUCCGUGACGUCACAGGUGAUAGAAAAACAACGCCGUAACGGCUCUAAUAGAUCUGUGACGUCACAGAUGAUAGAAAAGCAACGCCGUAACUCCUGUCACAGGUCCGUGACGUCACAGAUGAUAGAAACAACGCCGUAAUUUCUGUCACAGGUCCGUGACGUCACAGAUGAUAGAAACAACGCCGUAAUUUCUGUCUCAGGUCCGUGACGUCACAGAUGAUAGAAACAGCGCCGUAAUUUCUGUCACAGGUCCGUGACGUCACAGAUGAUAGAAACAACGCCGUAAUUUCUGUCACAGGUCCGUGACGUCACAGAUGAUAGAAACAACGCCGUAAUUUCUGUCUCAGGUCCGUGACGUCACAGAUGAUAGAAACAACGCCGUAAUUUCUGUCACAGAUCCGUGACGUCACAGAUGAUAGAAAAACAACACCGUAACGUAUCUAAUAGAUCUGUGACGUCACAGAUGGUCGAAACAACGCCGCAAUUUCUGUCACAGGUCCGUGACGUCACAGAUGGUCGAAACAACGCCGUAAUUUCUGUCACAAGUCCGUGACGUCACAGAUGAUAGAAACAACGCCGUAAGUUCUGUCACAGGUCCGUGA